rnacentral:lncRNA from 1 species
AUUUCAUAGUUUUGAUGUCUUCACUAUUAUUAUACAAUGUAGAAAAUAGUAAAAAUAAAAACUCCUGGAAUGAGUAGGUGUACCAAAACCUUUGACUGGUACUAUAUAUAUAUAUAUAUACUAUUCUCAAUGUAUCAUCAGUAUUGUCUCUCAGCCAUGGUGGUGCUGAUAUGCUAGUUAUAGCGAACAACUAGAAAACUAUGCAUUCACAUUAACAACGCUCUCAAUGACCAAAGUGGACAUUCUUAUACAGCUUAAAAGGAAGUGAGGGUAAACCUGUUGUUUUCUCUAUGAGCAUUCCAAUAAUUUUUUUGAUGUGAAGUGAAAAUGAAACUCGUAUAGGCUCAUUAACGCUUUUGUAGACACCUCGUGUACAGAUCUCUAACCCCCUUGCAAUUGUUAUACUGUAGUUGUUUGUCAUCAUUGAUUUAUCUGUCUUCAAAGGUGAUUUUUAAUCGUGAUUGUUACACAGGCACUUUAACUGAUUCUACUAUGUCCAUAAUAACGAAAACACCUUCAGGCAUUGCUACUGCAUUUUGCACAAGGCUGAGCUGAAGGACUUUGCAUUUACUCAUUACGCUAAUCUUUGCCUCAAAAUCGCACACAGCACAAUCCUAAACCCAGACACCAGGUGUGAGCAUGGAAAACCAUACCACCCUUUUUCCUGUGGGCGGCUUUCAAAAUCCUGCCAAGUUUACCUCAGGUUUCCUUCUUCCCCGUCCAGCAGACCUCCCCACCAGUGUGUUCCUUUGCCACAGUAGAAAGUCAUCAUCUUCAGGUUGUCUUAGCUGGCCACUAACUGCAAUUACACCAACCGUGCUGUAGCCAGGCAAAACUGUAGGUUUGUAGCUCUUGGAGCUCUCCAACACCACUGUGAAGGUUUGCAGAAGCUUUAUUUUUAAAACAUGCUUCGACUCGAUGUAAUACGCACAGACUUCAUGGUUAUUACCUCUGCCUAUGAAAACCAUUGCUGACCUAUGCCACGGAGGUGAUUUGGUAAUGAAAAUAUUAUGGUUGGAGAGAAUAGACACGGCACUUGAAGAGAACAGUGAGGCCUUUCUUUAGCCCUGGGCGGUUGUGCUAAAGGCUCCUGUAGGCUGAUGUGGAGUCAGACAGGUCUGCAGGUUUGGGGAACUACAGCUGGUGUUCUAUAGAGAAAUGCCAGGAACUGAGCUCAAUGUUAAUGUUUGGCAUGGAUUACCCCCAAAAUGUAAAGUAAGCACAUUUUCCAGAACAGAGCAUUUGUUCAGAACAUUUAUUCAGGAAUAUUUCAUACAAGGCCAUAUCUUUUUCAUAGAAGUAACAAUAGCCGUCAAUCAAUACAUACACUGUACUGGAUGUAAAAUAAUUUGUUUAUGACAUUAUCAGAUUAUGUUGUCGUCUUUAAAUGUUGGAAGUCUUUUUUUACAACUUUAAAAUGUUUUUAUAUACUAGUGUUAACAGUUGAUGCUAAUUGAGAAGUUUUCUGAACAAUUUGCUUGUAAAAUUGUUCUCUGCCUCGUGUGUAGAAAUCAAUGCUGUCAUGCAUAAACCAAGAAAAUCAUGAGUACAACAUGCCAAUGGACCAUACUGUCUAUAAUCUCCCAUCAUUGUAAAAUACAUUAAAACCAUUGUUUGAUAUAAUCUUUGUUUAAAUGUAAUAUGCAAGAAUCACUUCACACUCCAUUAUAGUGGAGGACGUUUAUACAGCUUGUAUUGCAUGAGCUCUGAAUUAAAAAUAAAAUGUUUAUACA